AUAGGGGAGCCGUAGAGAAAUCGAGUCUUAAUAGGGCGUUUAGUUGCUGGGUGUAGACCCGAAACCGGGUGAUCUAUCCAUGAGCAGGUUGAAGGUUGGGUAACACUAACUGGAGGACCGAACCCACUGUCGUUGAAAAGCCAGGGGAUGACUUGUGGAUAGGGGUGAAAGGCUAAUCAAACUCGGUGAUAGCUGGUUCUCCCCGAAAGCUAUUUAGGUAGCGCCUCGGACGAAUACCAUAGGGGGUAGAGCACUGUUUCGGCUAGGGGGUCAUCCCGACUUACCAAACCGAUGCAAACUCCGAAUACCAAUGAGUACUAUCCGGGAGACAGACUGCGGGUGCUAACGUCCGUAGUCAAGAGGAAAACAAUCCAGACCGCCAGCUAAGGCCCCAAAAUUAUAGUUAAGUGGGAAACGAUGUGGGAAGGCAUAGACAGCUAGGAGGUUGGCUUAGAAGCAGCCACCCUUUAAAGAAAGCGUAAUAGCUCACUAGUCGAGUCGGCCUGCGCGGAAGAUGUAACGGGGCUAAAACUAUAUGCCGAAGCUGCGGAUUUGCAAUUUAUUGCAAGUGGUAGGGGAGCGUUCUGUAAGCCGAUGAAGGUGUAUUGAGAAGUAUGCUGGAGGUAUCAGAAGUGCGAAUGCUGACGUGAGUAACGACAAUGCGAGUGAAAAACUCGCACGCUGAAAGACCAAGGGUUCCAGUCCAACGUUAAUCGGGGCUGGGUGAGUCGACCCCUAAGGCGAGGCCGAGAGGCGUAGUCGAUGGGAAAUUGGUUAAUAUUCCAAUACUUCUGUGUAAUGCGAUGAGAGGACGGAGAAGGUUAAGUCAGCCUGGCGUUGGUUGUCCAGGUGGAAGGUUGUAGGCAUGUAUCUUAGGCAAAUCCGGGGUACUCUAUGCUGAGAACUGAUAGCAAGCUGUACUUGUACAGUGAAGUGGCUGAUACCAUGCUUCCAGGAAAAGUCUCUAAGCUUCAGUUACAUAGGAAUCGUACCCGAAACCGACACAGGUGGUCAGGUCGAGUAGACCAAAGCGCUUGAGAGAACUCUGCUGAAGGAACUAGGCAAAAUGGUACCGUAACUUCGGGAGAAGGUACGCUGCCGAUGGUGAGUAGUCAUGCACUACAAAGCUAUUGGCAGUCGCAGAUACCAGGCCGCUGCAACUGUUUAUUAAAAACACAGCACUCUGCAAACACGAAAGUGGACGUAUAGGGUGUGACGCCUGCCCGGUGCUGGAAGGUUAAUUGAUGGGGUCAGCCGCAAGGCGAAGCUCUUGAUCGAAGCCCCAGUAAACGGCGGCCGUAACUAUAACGGUCCUAAGGUAGCGAAAUUCCUUGUCGGGUAAGUUCCGACCUGCACGAAUGGCAUAAUGAUGGCGGCGCUGUCUCCAGCAGAGACUCAGUGAAAUCGAAAUCGCGGUGAAGAUGCCGUGUACC
rnacentral:rRNA from 1 species